rnacentral:rRNA from 1 species
AGCGGCAGACGGGUGAGUAACGCGUGGGAACGUACCCUUUUCUACGGAAUAACGCAGGGAAACUUGUGCUAAUACCGUAUGAGCCCUUCGGGGGAAAGAUUUAUCGGGAAAGGAUCGGCCCGCGUUGGAUUAGCUAGUUGGUGGGGUAAAGGCCUACCAAGGCGACGAUCCAUAGCUGGUCUGAGAGGAUGAUCAGCCACAUUGGGACUGAGACACGGCCCAAACUCCUACGGGAGGCAGCAGUGGGGAAUAUUGGACAAUGGGCGCAAGCCUGAUCCAGCCAUGCCGCGUGAGUGAUGAAGGCCCUAGGGUUGUAAAGCUCUUUCACCGGUGAAGAUAAUGACGGUAACCGGAGAAGAAGCCCCGGCUAACUUCGUGCCAGCAGCCGCGGUAAUACGAAGGGGGCUAGCGUUGUUCGGAAUUACUGGGCGUAAAGCGCACGUAGGCGGAUAUUUAAGUCAGGGGUGAAAUCCCAGAGCUCAAC